UCAAAAUCAAUCUGAAUUUUUUCAGGUCUGAAUUUUGGAAUUGUGUUUGUCCAGAUCAAUUGCUUGGAUUAAAAUUACUGUGAAGUACUGAAUUUCUGUGCCACAUACUCCUCUGUGUUGCUUUCAAGGAAAGUCUUUCAGCGGAAUCAGCAGACCUGGUCUCUCUACCCUGACUUUGCAAAUGGAAGCAGUGCUGAUGUAAGGACGAGAGCUGCAUCAUCAGCAGCAACUGGAAGAGCUGAAUGAAGUGUAAGGUCUUGCAUUUCAUACAUCCAACGGCACUGCCAAGAUUCUGACACCUUGGGGGUUUCAUGAUGAAGUGGAAAGAAAUUAAGAACUGCUGGAAAUCUGUGAAGGAAAAUUCAAUACAACUGGAAAGCAUUGCGAGGUCAGGGUGCAGAAGUGUGAUCCCAUAUGUGGGUGGAGGCAAGGGAAAGAAGAGUUAAAUUUACUAAAUGUACUAAAUGAUUAAAUUUACCAUUGCAUUUUUACCUGAACUACUAAAAGCAGCCUGUCUGUUCAAAGCAAGGUAGUCAGCACUGCAAAAGCUGCUGAAAGGUUGUCCUCAAGUGAGGCACUGCAGGAUGAAGUCACCACUGUUUGUGGAGGAAGGUAUGGAAAGGUUGAAAGUCAUUUCAGAAGUACAGAGAUGGCUGCUGUGGUUAACUUCACAAGCUCUUGUGCUCAGUGCCCUUUGUGUGCUGUCAAUCCCACGUUGCCAGGAGGACUGUUGGGGUACACAGUUGUGUCAGCAGCCGUACAGGUACAGCCCUUAUGUUUGUGACAAUGUGAAAACAGGAGCUGGCACAAUAAAAGAACCAUGUAGGAAAGGUAUUUCACUCGAGCAGAUAAGGAUAUAGCAUUGCUGUGCUUCACUGCUCAGCAUGUAAAACAUCUGUUAAAUUCCUUUGUUUUCUGUGUCCUUGUUGACAUUCACAAAAUUCUAUUAGACAAAUGUAUGCUAGUAAAAUAUUCCUUUUUGAUACUGUAUACUGUAAUUCAGUGCUUCCAUUUCUUUUAGCAGCAGACAUCAUAGAAUAAUUUUGUACUGCGAUGUCCUCCAGUUGUCCUCUGAAGAAAUCUAAACUACUGUGCUGAGGGCUGAAUACAAAAGGUAAUUUUCAUAUAGAUACAUCCCAGUAAACCUUAGACAAAACUUCUUUGCAUGUACAGUAGAUGCUUUCCAGACUUGUAACCUCAAAACUUAGUUCUAUUUCAAAAUGGAUAAAUCAGUUAUUUCUACUUUUUUAUAUACUGCUGCAUGUGAAUAUCUCUUAAGUAAAAUGGAGACAUCACUUUAACCUUCAAUAAGUUGUGCAUGUAUAUCUGCCUUGGUGUGUGCUUGCAUGUACAUAAGUGCACUCUCUUGUUCAGCCUGUUAAAAAAAACCAGAAAACAAACAAACA